UUAAGUUCAGCGGGUAUCCCUACCUGAUCCGAGGUCAACCUGAAAAAAAAUUGGGGGUUGCUGGCAAGCACGCACCCGGGUCUCCAAAGCGAGAAGAAUUACUACGCUUGAAGCCGAAUGGCACCGCCACUGAUUUUAAGGCCUGCCAGGACCGGCAGAGCCCAAUACCAAGCAGAGCUUGAGGGUUGUAAUGACGCUCG
rnacentral:misc_RNA from 1 species